rnacentral:tRNA from 1 species
AGCCUUGAGGUGUUUUACAUAUCAGAUUGCAAAUCUUAAGUCGCAGAGUAACGUCUGCCGGGGCUU